CUCUUCCCGUAGGGGUGACCUGCGGAAGGAUCAUUGAAUUAUUAAAACCACACCGUGAACCUCCCUGUUUCGCGUUCCGGCUCGUCCAGCUGGGCGAUCGGCCCCAACCCCCGAUCGGCUCCAGCAGCUGCAACGUCGUGCGCCUCACACGCGGGGGCGUUGCAGUGGCGCCGGGACGUGCCUUUCACCCUACACACCAGUGCUCACCACUGUCAAAUCCGAAAUCUGAAGCAGCAGAGACCGCUCGUAACUGGCGGUCUGAACAACAGAGACAACUCUCAACAACGGAUAUCUUGGCUCUCGCAACGAUGAAGAACGCAGCGAAAUGCGAUACGUAGUGUGAAUUGCAGAAUUCCGUGAACCAUCGAAUCUUUGAACGCAUAUUGCGCUCGAGCCUUCGGGCGAGAGCAUGUCUGCCUCAGCGUCGGUUUCCACCCUCUCGCCCCUCUCACCACAUCAUCAUCCCUUGCGCGGAUGGUGGCGGGUGAGUCUGGUCGACCGCUCUCGGUCGGCCUCAGGGGCGGAUCUGGCCUCCCCAAUCGAUCGAUCCGAUCGCUUGGGUUGGCUGAAGCGCAGAGGCUUAACCACGGACCCGAAUGGGCUUCAACUGGAUAGGUAGCGCCGGCUCUUUCUCUCUUCUGUUCCUCUCUCGCGAGAGGAGGAGAGGGAGGAGGGUCGUCUACACGAAGUUGUGGCCUGUGGACCUUGGUAGGGGCCAAGCAGGAAACGAUCGUGCGCUCCGACUGCGUCUGUUCCGACUCUCUCUCGCAUCUCGAGCGAGCGCAGAGGAGAGACAGACACACACGGGGGCGCGCGCACGUCCGACACGUUCGACCUGAGCUCAGGCAAGGCUACCCGCUGAACUUAAGCAUAUCAAUAAGCGGGAGGAAAAGGAUCAUUGAAUU
rnacentral:rRNA from 1 species